UCUCUCCAUCCUACUCCUUUCCUCUAUUGUUCUCGAGCUCUAACUAACUUAAGCACCAAAGGGUCCCCCCUAAAAAUCCACCAACGAGUGCAAACUUUUCUUACAGGUUUCCUCCAACAUUUUGGAUCUCGAACGACAUUCAACUCUAGCCAUGUCAGUGCCUAAUCAGAGUUUCAUAGCAAUAGAUUAGCACUAAAGAAAGGAUAUAAGCCCAUUUCUAAAGGAAAGA
rnacentral:lncRNA from 1 species